GAUGAAGAACGUAGCGAAAUGCGAUAAGUAAUGUGAAUUGCAGAAUUCAGUGAAUCAUCGAAUCUUUGAACGCACAUUGCGCCCGCCAGUAUUCUGGCGGGCAUGCCUGUUCGAGCGUCAUUUCAACCAUCAAGCCCUGCUUGCGUUGGGGUCCUGCGGCUGCCCGCAGGCCCUGAAAACCAGUGGCGGGCUCGUUAGUCACACCGAGCGCAGUAAUACAUCUCGCUUUGGGCGUGCGGCGGGUUCUUGCCGUUAAACACCCCCUUUUUACCAAGGUUGACCUCGGAUCAGGUAGGAAUACCCGCUGAACUUAAGCAUAUCAAUAAGCGGAGGA
rnacentral:misc_RNA from 1 species